AGCUUUGAACAGUGGCAGUAUUAUAGUCAGUGAGGUUUAGCUGAGGCACGAUUAUUACUAAAAAAUAAUCUGUGGGUAUCUCUGUUGAUUUCUGUAUCUGAGAUUGUACAAAACAAGUGGUCACUCCACCAGUCUCCAUGGUG
rnacentral:snRNA from 1 species